rnacentral:rRNA from 1 species
UACGUAGGGGGCUAGCGUUGUCCGGAAUCAUUGGGCGUAAAGAGCGCGUAGGCGGCCAGAUAAGUCCGGUGUGAAAGUCACAGGCUCAACCUGUGAAUGCCGCUGGAAACUGUCUGGCUAGAGUCCGGAAGGGGCGAGUGGAAUUCCUGGUGUAGCGGUGAAAUGCGCAGAUAUCAGGAGGAACACCAAUGGCGAAGGCAGCUCGCUGGGACGGUACUGACGCUGAGGCGCGACAGCGUGGGGAGCAAACAGG